rnacentral:rRNA from 1 species
UACGAAGGGGGCUAGCGUUGCUCGGAAUUACUGGGCGUAAAGGGCGCGUAGGCGGACAGUUUAGUCAGAGGUGAAAGCCCAGGGCUCAACCUUGGAAUUGCCUUUGAUACUGAGGGCCUUGAGACCGGAAGAGGUCGGCGGAACUGCGAGUGUAGAGGUGAAAUUCGUAGAUAUUCGCAAGAACACCAGUGGCGAAGGCGGCCGACUGGUCCGGUUCUGACGCUGAGGCGCGAAAGCGUGGGGAGCAAACAGG